AUGGCCUUUGGCGAGAAACCCGAUGUAAUAACCGUGUGUGACGUGUUUGCGCGCACUUGACAAGAGGCAUCGUGAUUGCAUUUGUCACUAUACAAAGGUCAUUGACAAAAGAACCACGAGCCAAUCUUUGGCAAUCUUAACGCGCGAUCCGGAAACACUGGACUCUUUUUACAGCAGAUAUGCGGACAAUAGGACGCGGUCAAGCCGCAAACAGGACGCGAAUUAGACUAAACAGUCCACAGAUAAAAGGACCCGAGUUAAAGAUAAAAAAUGGUUCUUAACUGCUAACAACAAGGAUACACUAUGAAAAUAAACGGCAUCGAGCAGCGGGGUCAAGAGUACGGGUGCGUCCAUGGCACGCGCAAAGACGUGUUUUAGGCUAGUGUCCGGAUGUGGAAAUCCGAACGGGCACAUGCGAAAUCAAAUACUCGAUAGGGAUGAUGGAGAGCUUAUCCUCAAGUGGGGGACGACGUGAGAUAUCGUCUUUGAGAGUGUCUCCUGCUUUUUGAAAAAAAAAAAAAAAAAAAAAAAAAACGCGUCGUUAACAAACGCUUGUUAAGGAGCUCUAGUCAGACAUACUUUUGUUAUUGUUUUUAUUUUUAACUGGAAGGCGUGUGAUAAAUUUUGGAGUAGCUAUGUUAAAAACAACGUUUUAUACUUCAUCUACCAAAGAAAAAAAAAACACACAAAACACCACCGCAAAAUAAGUGGCUUUAAAUGGAUGUUUUUUUGUUUUUAGAUUUUUUCACUCUUUCUAUUUUGCAAGGACAACAAAAAUAGCGGCUGAUAGACCAUUUUAAAGAGCCAUUCACAGCCACACCUUUGUUAUUGUUUUAUUUAAACUUUGGAAGGCACAUAAUGUUUUCAAUAAAAUCUCGAAAAAAAAAAACAACAACUAAAAAGAAAGUUUGAUACUUUUGUACGGCACUAAGGUUAGACAAGGAGGAUGUUCUUGUAACAGAAUUGAGCUGGUAUCUUUGGUUAGAUGGCGAUGAUAAAAGGAUCUCUCAGACAAGAUGCCGGAUUCGCAGAAAGCCAUCCCAGCCAGGAUGAACUAUUUAAUUGACUUAUCGUAGUAGGAUUCCAGUUCAAACUGUGUAAAUAACGACAAGCACCAUAUUCACAGCGUUCCGUUUCAAACACACAGCAAGAUUACACAGCUUGGCAGUUGUGAUAGUCACUGACUAAUUGAGCAUUAUCUUGUCUCCACUGUGUCUCGAUGAUUACCAGUGGGCCUGACCCAGCGUGUAGGUCAACUGGCUCGGAAAAGGUGGAAGGACUGAGGUGAUAAAUUGGUGAAAAAUAGACCCGUGCAGGCCCGUA